AACGAACGCUGGCGGCAUGCCUAACACAUGCAAGUCGAACGAGACCUUCGGGUCUACUGGCGCACGGGUGCGUAACGCGUCGGAACCUGCCCUUAGGCUCGGAAUAACUCCCCUUAAGGGGUGCUAAUACCGGAAAAUGUCCGCGGAUCAAAGAUUCAUCGCCAUUGGAUGGGCCGGCGUUGGUUUAGCCUGUGGGGAGGGUAAAAGCCUACCAAGGCGACGCUACAUAGCUGGUCUGAGAGGAUGAUCAGCCACACUGAGACUGAGACACGGCCGGGACUCUUGGGGGAGGGAGCAGUGGGGAAUAUAGGAAAAUGGGCGGAAGGAUGAUCCAGCAAUGCCGGGUGAGUGAUGAAGGCGUGAGAGUAGUAAAGCUGUUUUACCCGGGGUGAUAAUGACAGUACCGGGAGAAUAAGCACCGGCUAACUCCGUG
rnacentral:rRNA from 1 species